GCGGGCGUAGCUCAGGUGGUUAGAGCGCCAGGUUGUGGCCCUGGAGGUCGCGCGUUCAAGUCGCGUCGCUCGCCCCA
rnacentral:tRNA from 1 species